AUUUAAGCUGGAGGCCUGAGGCAAAGGAAACCUAAGUCCUUCUGAGGCAGGUGAACAGCACCUGUGAGUUGUUGCUGUUGAUUUAUUUAAUGUGCUGCUGGGCCUCACUGUACCUGAGGUACUGAUAUAUUGCAUAUUGCUGAGUCCUCCAGUGGAAAGUAGAAAACAAAAUGUAUCUGUUCCUCCUUUACAUUUUAUAUUUGCCUUUGAAACCCACUGACACCAAGGAAGUUAUUUUUGGUCAAAAUCAUUUUACAGAAUAUCAAGUGGGCAACAUGAACCUGAUUCUUUCUGUCCCACAUGGUGGGUCAAUGGAACCCGAAGACAUCCUUGAUCGAGAUGCUGGCUGUUGGGAUGCAAAGACAUCCUCUUGUAUUUUCUCUCAUGACUGCCCUCCUGGAAGCAUUCAAAAUUUUAAGAAGUGCAAGGUGCUUACCAACCAAGACAGGUAUACCAUAGAGGUGGCUCAGGCCCUUGCUGAAGAAAUCAGCCAAAUUACUGACGGCUUUUUUCCACAUAUCAUUGUAAACCAUCUCCAAAGAUUCAAGAUGGAUGCAAACAGGGAAAAGGAAGAAGCAUCUUUUGGAAUUCCCCAAGCAGAACAGGCCUGGGAAGAGUACAUGGGAUUUUUGAGCACUGCAAAAUCACAGAUGACAGGGGGCUUGAUUCUGGAUAUCCACGGACAAGCACACCCUGAACAAUGGAUAGAACUAGGUUACACACUUUCAAAAACUUCCCUCAACUUGGGGGUCUUUUCUGCAUCAUCUUCCUCUAUUAGCCAUCUGGCCAGUCAGCUAGUCAAUGUGUCUUUUGAGGCUUUGCUCACAGGGAACAGAAGUUUGGGUAGAUACAUCGAAGAACAAAAUAACAGUUACAUUUGUGUGCCUUCUCCAUCCAAUCCUAGUCCAAACAAUGGUAGCUAUUAUAGUGGUGGAUACAUCACAAAGACUUUUGGCUCCCGUACUUCUGGCACCAUUGAUGCCAUUCAGAUUGAAUUACCGCAGUGGGUGAGGGCAGCUGAAGAACGUCCCAAAUUUUGUAAAGCACUAGCAAGGGCUGUAAUGAAGUUCUGGCAAACCAACUACUGCAACCAGUACAGCCACGAGCUUCUGCCAUGCUGAAAGAGGCUGUCUUUAUUGAGGUUGCUUUCCAUAAUACAGUAAUGAUCUGGAACAACAGAAGAAUUGAUACAGCUGGAAUACUUAAACCUGCAAUCAGUCAUGGAUACUAAAGGAUGAAGCUAACCUGCAAAGGAACAGAGGGACAUCAACAGAGAAAAUCCACAACUAGUACCAACAAACCAGUUAACAAACAACUUUGUACUAGAUCCAACAGUGAAAAGACUGCCUGAAGAUGAGUGGGCAUCUCUGGAAAUAUCGCUUGUCUGAUACGCUUUUCUGUUCUCAAUUUCUUUCCAGUAGCAUCCUCUGUUUUGUAGGAUACAAUAAACAACUAUGCUUGUCCUAAAUAA